rnacentral:rRNA from 1 species
UGUGCCAGCAGCCGCGGUAAUACGUAGGGCGCAAGCGUUAUCCGGAUUUAUUGGGCGUAAAGGGCUCGUAGGCGGCUCGUCGCGUCNCGGUGUGAAAGUCCAUCGCUUAACGGUGGAUCUGCGCCGGGUACGGGCGGGCUGGAGUGCGGUAGGGGAGACUGGAAUUCCCGGUGUAACGGUGGAAUGUGUAGAUAUCGGGAAGAACACCGAUGGCGAAGGCAGGUCUCUGGGCCGUCACUGACGCUGAGGAGCGAAAGCGUGGGGAGCGAACAGGAUUAGA